rnacentral:rRNA from 2 species
UCGCAUCUAUACAUGCAGUCGAGCGAAUCGAUGGGAGCUUGCUCCCUGAGAUUAGCGGCGGACGGGUGAGUAACACGUGGGCAACCUGCCUAUAAGACUGGGAUAACUUCGGGAAACCGGAGCUAAUACCGGAUACGUUCUUUUCUCGCAUGAGAGAAGAUGGAAAGACGGUUUACGCUGUCACUUAUAGAUGGGCCCGCGGCGCAUUAGCUAGUUGGUGAGGUAAUGGCUCACCAAGGCGACGAUGCGUAGCCGACCUGAGAGGGUGAUCGGCCACACUGGGACUGAGACACGGCCCAGACUCCUACGGGAGGCAGCAGUAGGGAAUCUUCCGCAAUGGACGAAAGUCUGACGGAGCAACGCCGCGUGAACGAAGAAGGCCUUCGGGUCGUAAAGUUCUGUUGUUAGGGAAGAACAAGUACCAGAGUAACUGCUGGUACCUUGACGGUACCUAACCAGAAAGCCACGGCUAACUACGUGCCAGCAGCCGCGGUAAUACGUAGGUGGCAAGCGUUGUCCGGAAUUAUUGGGCGUAAGCGCGCGCAGGUGGUUCCUUAAGUCUGAUGUGAAAGCCCACGGCUCAACCGUGGAGGGUCAUUGGAAACUGGGGAACUUGAGUGCAGAAGAGGAAAGUGGAAUUCCAAGUGUAGCGGUGAAAUGCGUAGAGAUUUGGAGGAACACCAGUGGCGAAGGCGACUUUCUGGUCUGUAACUGACACUGAGGCGCGAAAGCGUGGGGAGCAAACAGGAUUAGAUACCCUGGUAGUCCACGCCGUAAACGAUGAGUGCUAAGUGUUAGAGGGUUUCCGCCCUUUAGUGCUGCAGCUAACGCAUUAAGCACUCCGCCUGGGGAGUACGGCCGCAAGGCUGAAACUCAAAGGAAUUGACGGGGGCCCGCACAAGCGGUGGAGCAUGUGGUUUAAUUCGAAGCAACGCGAAGAACCUUACCAGGUCUUGACAUCCUCUGACAACCCUAGAGAUAGGGCUUUCCCCUUCGGGGGACAGAGUGACAGGUGGUGCAUGGUUGUCGUCAGCUCGUGUCGUGAGAUGUUGGGUUAAGUCCCGCAACGAGCGCAACCCUUGAUCUUAGUUGCCAGCAUUCAGUUGGGCACUCUAAGGUGACUGCCGGUGACAAACCGGAGGAAGGUGGGGAUGACGUCAAAUCAUCAUGCCCCUUAUGACCUGGGCUACACACGUGCUACAAUGGAUGGUACAAAGGGCUGCAAACCUGCGAAGGUAAGCGAAUCCCAUAAAGCCAUUCUCAGUUCGGAUUGCAGGCUGCAACUCGCCUGCAUGAAGCCGGAAUCGCUAGUAAUCGCGGAUCAGCAUGC